GGCUCGAAGCUCCUUCUUGCAGCGCUCGACUCUUCCAACCUUCUCACCUUGCAAAGACAGCGCUGCAACCACAUGCAAAGACAAGCGCAGCUCUACUUCAGCUGAGAUCCAGCACGCACAUUUUUAAACCUGACUGCUUUCAGGAACAAUGCAGUUCCUUUGCGCUAGCCUCCUGGAUUAAACGCGAGCCGCACGCAGCGAGAUAGAGAGACAGUUCCCGCAUCACAUUCUAACACCGCCGGCAAUGUGUGAAUGUGGAAAACUGGGACUCGGUCUGCGGGUUCUUUCCGCCACGGGGAGGCACAGAUCAUGAUCAAGAUUUUAUUGAAAAAAAAGGAAAGUUUACGAGCGACCUAUGUGGGAAAACGAAGAGCAGGGACAGAACCUGCCCCUGGAUUUGUACUCACAGUCUCUCGGUGUUCCUAGGGAUGCCUUUGGGGACAGAGCGCAGUCCCAGCCCGUGACAAUCCACAGCCGGCCCGGCACAGGUACAGUGGCUGGGACAAACUUGGCCGGCAACUUCAGUCCAAGUGCUCGUCCCGAUCACAAGGAGAAACCAGGGGAAAAUCCUGCAGAAUCCAAACGCGUCCAUCGUGGCUUCUUUUUUCCGCCCACUGUGUUUUUGUGGAAGUGGGUGGGGGAAGCAACGGUGCAGGCAAACUUUUAAACAAAACAAAAACCCGUAGAAAGCCUUAAACAAAAAAAAAGACAAGUUGCUCGUUUCCAAUCCGCAGUCCGCUCUCCCAACUUUGUGCCGACGCCUGGGCUUGUUCGUGAUAGCGAGCAGGCUAUCUCUCCCCACGGUCGCCGCAAACUCACACACACACAAUAACACCGUCCAUCGACAGCGCCUUCUGUAUCCCCAGCACCUUCAGGCAAAGCUCCGAAUUCUCAGCAAAUGUCACCGAAUAGCUUCAGAUCGCUCGACCGCAACAGCCCCAGAUGAUUCAACAGACGCCGCCGCGUACAACGCUCGAUAUUGAUUUCCUUUCAAGCAUCCAUCAGGCUGUCACUGACAUUCAGGAGAAUCACUGAGUUUUUGCUUCAUGACCGUAACGGAUGGUGGUGAGGUGGCUGAUGACUCCGGAACAGUGCUCUGGCAAACAGCGACAAGGAAGUGACUGAUGGAGUGGCAAGCAUGAGACCUGGUAUUGGCUGCAACAUUGGCGGAGAUGACAUCAGCAAGGACCUAUAAAUGAAAUAAAAUCAGAUGUGGUGAAGAAACAUUUGCUAUGUCAACACAGCAUGAAGUGGAAAAAUGCUUAUUGAUUGUGCCAAUGGGGAAGGAACUAAUUCCUGAUGCUUUCUUUAAAAAUUCCUGAUACCAAUGUGCGUGUAUUUUAACAGUUAUCCUGUUUCUCUGUUCCCUGGAAUCAACCAAACAUUGGGAGAGAAUUGCAGGCAUUUGCCGAAAUCCAGUCAUUUAUGACAUGUAUUUGUAUUGU